AUUACGGGGAGCAGGCGCGAAAACUUUACAAUGCUGGCAACAGCGAUAAGGGAACCUCGAGUGCCAGGUUACAAAUCUGGCUGUCGAGAUGCCUAAAAAGCAUUUCAUAGCAAGGGCCGGGCAAGACCGGUGCCAGCCGCCGCGGUAACACCGGCGGCUCGAGUGGUAACCGUUAUUAUUGGGUCUAAAGGGUCUGUAGCCGGCCGGAUAAGUCUCUUGAGAAAUCUGGCAGCUUAACUGUCAGGCUUUCAGGAGAUACUGUCUGGCUCGAGGCCGGGAGAGGUGAGAGGUACUUCAGGGGUAGGGGUGAAAUCUUGUAAUCCUUGAAGGACCACCAGUGGCGAAGGCGUCUCACCAGAACGGACCUGACGGCAAGGGACGAAAGCUAGGGGCACGAACCGGAUUAGAUACCCGGGUAGUCCUAGCCGUAAACGAUACUCGCUAGGUGUCGGCCACGGUGCGACCGUUGUCGGUGCCGUAGGGAAGCCGUGAAGCGAGCCACCUGGGAAGUACGGCGGCAAGGCUGAAACUUAAAGGAAUUGGCGGGGGAGCACAAU
rnacentral:rRNA from 1 species